rnacentral:rRNA from 1 species
GAUGAACGCUGGCGGCAUGCCUAACACAUGCAAGUCGAUCGGUAAGGCCCUUCGGAGUACCCGAGAGGCGGACGGCUGAGUAACGCGUAGGAACACACCCUGCAGUGAGGGAUAAGACACCGAAAGGUGUUCUAAUACCGCAUACGGUCUUCGGAUUAAAGCAUUUAUGCGCUGAAGGAGUGGCCUGCGUCAUAUUAGAUAGUUGGUGAGGUAAUGGCUCACCAAGUCGAUGAUGUGUAGCUGGUCUGAGAGGAUGAUCAGCCAGACUGGAACUGAGACACGGUCCAGACUCCUACGGGAGGCAGCAGUGAGGAAUAUUUCACAAUGAGCGAAAGCUUGAUGGAGCAAUGCCGCGUGCAGGAUGAAGGCCCUCGGGUUGUAAACUGCUUUUAUAAGAGAAGAUUAUGACGGUAACUUAUGAAUAAGGGACGGCUAACUACGUG